CUACCGUUAGCUCAAUUGGCAGAGCAAAGGACUGUAGUUAUUACCAAAUCAGUAUUCCUUAGGUCACCGGUCCGACCCCGGUACGGCAGA
rnacentral:tRNA from 1 species